rnacentral:misc_RNA from 1 species
GUGAAUCAUCAAAUCUUUGAACGCAAAUUGCACUCUCCUCGGAGAGUAUGCCUGUUUGAGGGUCAGCCUAUAAAAAAUCGACAUCGUUGCUGUUUCGCGGGGGCGUUCGUCGGAAAUUGGGUCAUCUUAAAUCUGUGGGGGUUAAGCGACUUAAAAUUUUCGUUUUGGUUCCAUGAACGUUUCUAAGAUUUAUUUCUUGACACGGUUAAGGUAUCGAUUUUUAUUAGACGUGACCAUCAUAUCGGUGCGCGCCCAUAAGCUUGCAUUAACUGACGUAAGAAAGGUAAGAGU